AUACGUAGGGGGCGAGCGUUGUCCGGAAUGAUUGGGCGUAAAGGGCGCGUAGGCGGCCCGGUAAGUCUGGAGUGAAAGUCCUGUUUUUAAGAUGGGAAUUGCUUUGGAUACUGUCUGGCUUGAGUGCAGGAGAGGUAAGUGGAAUUCCCAGUGUAGCGGUGAAAUGCGUAGAGAUUGGGAGGAACACCAGUGGCGAAGGCGACUUACUGGACUGUAACUGACGCUGAGGCGCGAAAGUGUGGGGAGCAAACAGGAUUAGAUACCCUGGUAGUCCACACUGUAAACGAUGAAUGCUAGGUGUAGGGGGUAUCGACCCCUUCUGUGCCGCAGUCAACACAAUAAGCAUUCCGCCUGGGGAGUACGGCCGCAAGGUUGAAACUCAAAUGAAUUGACGGGG
rnacentral:rRNA from 1 species